GCAGAUUUGUUUCUCUACGUCUACAUUGUGUUGGAUGAAAUCCCAAUGAGACUGAUUGAUCUAUAUAAGCCAUGUGAGUUCUACAAAAUCAUAAGAAGAAUACAUGGGCUACUAUUUCAGUUAAAUAUUUGAUGUGCUAAAACAAUAAUGUGGAGAGAACUCGUUUCUCCAAUGAAAAAUAAUAGCUCAAGAAGGUGAUUUCAGAUCUUCCUUGUGAGGUACUUCAAAAAGAUGCCAAUGAUGCACAAUGAGGAGAUGCUUGGGCCUUGUGGCGUGCCUACGGCAGCAGCUCCCCUGGCAGUGCGGUGUUCUCAGCUGGAUUAGGGCGACCUUGCUAGCAAACUCGCCAUCUCUUUCCCUAGGUAUACCAGCUCCCUUCCCUCCCCUCUCUUCUUUGAUUUUGCUCGUGACGACCCACAAUACAUAA